GAUGAACGCUGGCGGCGUGCCUAAUACAUGCAAGUCGAGCGAACAGACGAGGAGCUUGCUCCUCUGACGUUAUCGGCGGACGGGUGAGUAACACGUGGAUAACCUACCUAUAAGACUGGGAUAACUUCGGGAAACCGGAGCUAAUACCGGAUAAUAUAUUGAACCGCAUGGUUCAAUAGUGAAAGACGGUUUUGCUGUCACUUAUAGAUGGAUCCGCGCCGCAUUAGCUAGUUGGUAAGGUAACGGCUUACCAAGGCGACGAUGCGUAGCCGACCUGAGAGGGUGAUCGGCCACACUGGAACUGAGACACGGUCCAGACUCCUACGGGAGGCAGCAGUAGGGAAUCUUCCGCAAAGGGCGAAAGCCUGACGGAGCAACGCCGCGUGAGUGAUGAAGGUCUUCGGAUCGUAAAACUCUGUUAUUAGGGAAGAACAAAUGUGUAAGUAACUAUGCUCGUCUUGACGGUACCUAAUCAGAAAGCCACGGCUAACUACGUG
rnacentral:rRNA from 1 species